rfam:Paraprevotella clara CAG:116 genomic scaffold, scf92
GAAUUUAAAAGACUAAAGCAAUAAUGUUCUCAAAUAAAAAUACAUAUUGGUGGUGGCGCAACUCAAGACCGGAAAAGUCGUGAGGAGCAAGCCUUAUAUGUAUUAUCUACAUUUACCCUAAAAGAAACAUGGAGGCCUGUC